UACAGAGGUCUCAAGCGUUGUUCGGAUUCAUUGGGCGUAAAGGGUGCGUAGGCGGCCGGGUAAGUCGGUUGUGAAAUCUCGGGGCUUAACUCCGAAACUGCAUUCGAUACUGCCGUGCUUGAGGACUGGAGAGGAGACUGGAAUUUACGGUGUAGCGGUGAAAUGCGUAGAUAUCGUAAGGAAGACCAGUGGCGAAGGCGGGUCUCUGGACAGUUCCUGACGCUGAGGCACGAAGGCCAGGGGAGCAAACGGG
rnacentral:rRNA from 1 species